rnacentral:tRNA from 1 species
AGAGAAUAAAUAGCUUAGGUAGCUAGACUCCCUGCUAAGGAGAUCGACUGAUUAAAUCGGUUUCGUUUCGAGUACGAUGUUCUCUGCCA